rnacentral:lncRNA from 1 species
GAGAGUCACAGCUGCAUCAUCACAUCUUCAGAUCUGGGCCACACACGCCUAAAUCGAACCGUAGCUCAACUGGCGAACCGUUGCUUCAUCUCACAAACAAGGAGACCGAGGACCGUACAAAGAAACAAAACACUAGAACAGGCUCAACGCCGUGGCUCGAGAGCCAAAGGACGUGAUUGUUGAGAAAAUAAGACUACAGAAGAGUAUAGGUUUUCUCUUUUCUUUUUGGAGUUGGAUUUAGAAUGUGGCUUAAUGUGUGAGACAGGGAAGGAAUAUUUAAGGCUUUUGGAAAGCUUAAAAAAAGGAGAGGCUGCACGAAAGGAUGGGUGGGUCUUUUUCUGAAGAGAGGCUUUAUUUGCUUUGUUUCAAGAUUUGUUGUCUUUUUUAAUGGUAUUUAAUUAUUGGCUCCAUAUUUAUUGUUUGGUUGGGGAUCAUUCAUUUUAUCUGAGUGCUUACCCCGGUUAAGAUUUUUUCGUAUUAGCUAAAAUGUCCUUAUUUGAAUAUCAAAAAUUCAAAUAUAAGAAUAAUACAUUAAUAUAAUUUAUUCGCUACAUGAACUACAUUUCCGUUAAUAGUCUAAUAGUACAUGAAUUUACUUUCUAAAAAAAAUAUUAGGUUAACUUGUCGAUGAAAAUGCAAGUCACAUGCACGAUAUAAGUACAUGCAUAUAGUACAUUUAAGUUUUAUUUAAUUUAAGCUUUUAUCUUUGUUUUAUCUAAUAUCGCUUUUAAUAAAUUUUUAAUUUUGAUUAUUAAUAAUAGAAAAAUACAUAAAACUAAUUCGCCCUAGUUGCAGUGACCACUUUGAUUAAGUCUUUUUCUGUAAUUGAUUAAGUCUUUUCAGAAACUAUAUUUGUUGAUCAGCACUCUAGCUUUCUUAAUUAAACAGGUUGAAGUUAGAUCAAAAUAGAUGGAUGAAUAUACUUUUAAGAUUUGACUAAUUUAAAGGCAGAUGUGGUUGUGAAUGCGAGAAUUUGUAUAAACAUGUAAUUGUAAAUAUUCAGAAAACAAUUUUGAUUUUGAAAAGUUUGAAGCAGCACAAAACUGUAAUUUUUUAUAAUUGUUAUCAAACACCAAUAACUACUAUGACCCACAAACACUACCAAUCAAUCUCUUAAUUUCUAAAGUGAGCAAAAAACUAUGUUUUUUUUUUUUCCCGUCUGAAAAUAUUCAUUCAACGAAGAGAUACACGAUUGAUACACAAACUGGCGGAAAACAAAGAUAUCCCCAGAAACAUAAGCCCAAAGAAAGGCACCUAAAACCCACACCGGGAGUGACUUACAAAAACAAGAACACAAACACAUACACUCCGACAAAAGGAAAUUACAUAACCCACCAUGAUAAUAGUACACUAAGCUUGCACCAGUCUCUGAACGAGAUAUAUCGUUGUCCGGCUGACCAAACGAUAACUUCAACCUCUACCAACACCUACCAACACCGAGAGCACUCCUCUCCACCUCAAAGAAACCAGACUUUAUAACCCGGUAAGAUAGAACCAUACUUGGAACAUACUUUCUUCCGGAUACGGCUGCGACACAACUUCAUUGCAUCCAAGCAACACCUCCAUAAAAGUCCUAUAAAGAACACUCCAAUCUCAACAGAUCUGGAGAUAAACGAGGUCAGACCCGGUAACGACCACACCGAAGCAGUAGUUACAAACAGGAAAGCGUUCACACCCUCAUUACACACUCGAAAACACUACAAGCUUAGGACCAAAAAUCAAAAGAGAGCAUAAUAAUUUCCUAAUAUAGAGGUCAAGAACCACAUGAUAUCCAGACUUCACUAAAAACACAUAAAUAAAAAACCCCCGAUUCACUUGCAGGAAACAAAGCCAGAACAGAGCCCACAACCAACAGAGACAAGAGCCAUAAGAUUCUCUUAACCACCGCAACAAAAACGGACCGAUUCGGUCCGAGAACCAAGAACGGCCGUCUUCACGCGCUUCACUCGCCUACACAAUGGAUGAAAGGCGGAUAGAUCUGAGCCAUCAGAGAAGGAAGCCACUGGAUGGAUAAAGAGAGUCACUUCUGCAUCAUCAUAUCUUCAGAUCUGGGCCACACACGCCUAAAUCGAACCGUAGCUCAACCGGCGAACCGUUGCUUCAUCUCACAAACAAGGAGACCGAGGACCAUACAAAGAAACAAAACACUAGAACAGGCUCAACGCCGUGGCUCGAGAGCCAACGGAUGCUGGCCGAGCCAGAAAUCCGGUGAAGUCUUCUUCUUCUUCGAAAGGAUAAGAGAGAGUGUUUCAGUUUUUUU